AAAUGACUCUCGGCAACGGAUAUCUCGGCUCUCACAUCGAUGAAGAACGUAGCGAAAUGCGAUACUUGGUGUGAAUUGCAGAAUCCCGUGAAUCAUCAAGUCUUUGAACGCAAGUUGCGCCUGAAGCCAUUAGGCUGAGGGCACGUCUGCCUGGGUGUCUCGC
rnacentral:rRNA from 1 species